rnacentral:lncRNA from 1 species
GGUCACUUUCACAGCUACAGUGUGCAUCAAUACCAGGAAACUGAUGUUGGACCCACAUAAACAUACAAACCUGUGUGCUCUCAUCACAGCGUGAGUUUGCAUAACCACAGCUACAGCCAAGGUACAGGAAGAGUGCCCCCGUGCCACUCGCUGGUACAGGCAUGUCCCUUCUGCGUUUUACUGCCUACCACGCACAACUGCUGCUGAUCGCUGGUCAGAUUCCAUAAUCCUGGGCAUGAUGACAAAGGAAGGAGACAAUCACUAGUCCUGUACAGCUUCCCACAGCAAUGAGCAGCACUGCAAGAUACCCCAAAAGGUACACAAGUGUCCCUCAUAGAUUUGGUGUUUCCAACGCUGUGUAAUUGGACUUAAGGCCACUCAACAGGAGGGCAAAUCAGGGAUGGUACUAAAAACCCCAUCAACUACCCAGAGCUACUGAGGCCGUGGGUCUUAGAAAAGAAUCUCUUACUAAACUUGCUAGAUUGACAUGAUUCUUUGCUGCGUUUUAAAUUGUAUUUUCAUACCCGCAGACAAGUAUAACUCUUACCCUUCAAAAAAGAAGUCUCUCUUUGACCUUUGAACUCUCAGUCCUAAGUCUUUAUCA